UACUAUCAUCUGUUUCUCAUUUUACACAUGCAAGUCUCAGCACCCCAGUGAGAACGCCCUUUUAACCUACACCAGGAGAAGGAGCUGGCAUCAGGCACUAUCCCUGCCCAUAACACCUAGUCUCACCACACCCCCAAGGGUAAUCAGCAGUGAUAAAUCUUAAAUAUAAGCGACAGCUUGAUUUAGUUAGAGAAAAGAGGGCCGGCUAACCCGGUGCCAGCCGCCGCGGCUACACCGUGGGGCCCGAGCUGAUAGUCACCGGCGUUAAGCGUGAUUAAAGCCCUCAACAAUUAGGGUUAAAUUAAUAUUUAGUAGUGAUAAGCUUGUUAUUAAGAAAACCAUAAACGAAAGUUACCCUAAUUACACUUGAAUCCACGACAACUGGGAAAACAAACUGGGAUUAGAUCCCCGCAC
rnacentral:rRNA from 1 species